UUUUGUCGGUUGGUGUCGUCGUAAAAUCUGUGGUAGUGGUAUAGAACAUCUGCCGAAAUUGCCCUUGAAUUUUCGUUAUUGUAUUUUAUUAUAAUUAAUCAAAAAGUUGAAGUUUUUCUAAACUUCUAAAUAUAAACAGAUAUAAACCAUGUCAAAUGGUGGUGGAGAUCACGAUGACGAGGGAUAUGUCGUCAAGAUACGUGGACUUCCAUGGUCAACUACAGUUGACGAAAUAAUGAAAUUUUUUGGAGAUUGUUCCAUAACCAAUGGAAAAGAAGGAGUACACAUGACUAUGUCACGCGAGGGAAGACCCAGUGGAGAAGCUUACGUGGAGAUGGAUACUCCAGAAGACAUAGAGAAGGCUUGCAAAAGAGACCGAGAUCAUAUGGGACAUCGAUACAUUGAAGUUUUCAAAGCAAAAAGGGGAGAAAUGGAAUGGGUAAUCAAACGAAGUGGCUUAAAUUUAGAAAAUGCAAUGGAUGAUGGAUGUGUCAGAUUACGUGGACUACCAUUCGGUUGUUCCAAAGAAGAAAUAGCACAAUUUUUCUCAGGGUUGGAGAUAUUGCCGAACGGGAUUUCACUACCGACAGACUACACGGGCCGCAGUACUGGGGAGGCUUACGUUCAGUUUGUAAACAAAGAUGUUGCGGAGCGCGCUCUGCAGAAACACAAGGAAAAGAUAGGACACAGGUAUAUUGAAAUCUUCCGAAGCAGUUUGUCUGAAGUACGUGCUAGCAUAGGACCAAAAAUGCGUGGGCCAAUGGGUGGAUUUAAUCAAAGACCUGCACCAUAUGAUCGUGGUGAUCGUUUUGGAGGCAUGAAUCGUUUUAGUAACAAUAGCAGAGGAUCUAGAAAUAGAGAUUUUGAUAGUGGUCCUUGGGGAAGCGGAAAUAACUUCAAUUCACGUGGUAGUGGAAUGGGUAUGCGCGGUGGAAUGGACAUGAAAGGAGGAAACUUUAGAGGAAGUGGUGAUAAUUGGGGCAAUAAUACUGGUCUUCAUAGUAUACAUAUGAGAGGUUUACCAUUCAAAGCAACAGAAGAUGAUAUAGCAGAUUUUUUCAGGCCUGUUGUGCCGAUAAAUGUUAAGAUUCUCUUGGAAAAUGGUGGGCGUCCAUCUGGUGAGGCAGACGUGGAAUUUGAAACCCACGAAGAAGCUGUUAGAGCUAUGAGCAAGGACAAAAGCCAUAUGUCUUACAGAUACAUAGAGUUAUUCCUUAACUCAAGCAACAGCUCAAGUGGAAUGUCUUUGGGUGGUAUAGGGAACUUUUGUGGAGGUUUGGGUAAUAACUUUAGGCCAGGAUAUUCUCCAAAUAGAGGAUUCAGCAGUCAAUUAGGGGGUAGCAAUUACAACAGUUUUUGAGAUUCGAUGCCACGUUUUUCACGUUCUCUAAGAAGAAGGAUAUAAGAUGAUGAUUUAAGGUCUAACCACGAGGAGGUAACCGCUNCUGAAGACCCAAGAGGGAUGUGCAU
rnacentral:misc_RNA from 1 species